GACGAACGCUGGCGGCGUGCUUAACACAUGCAAGUCGAACGGAAAGGCCCUGCUUUUGUGGGGUGCUCGAGUGGCGAACGGGUGAGUAACACGUGAGUAACCUGCCCUUGACUUUGGGAUAACUUCAGGAAACUGGGGCUAAUACCGGAUAGGAGCUCCUGCUGCAUGGUGGGGGUUGGAAAGUUUCGGCGGUUGGGGAUGGACUCGCGGCUUAUCAGCUUGUUGGUGGGGUAGUGGCUUACCAAGGCUUUGACGGGUAGCCGGCCUGAGAGGGUGACCGGCCUCCUUGGGACUGAGAUACGGCCCAGACUCCUACGGGAGGCAGCAGGGGGGAAUAUUGCACAAUGGGCGGAAGCCUGAUGCAGCAACGCCGCGUGCGGGAUGACGGCCUUCGGGUUGUAAACCGCUUUCGCCUGUGACGAAGCGUGAGUGACGGUAAUGGGUAAAGAAGCACCGGCUAACUACGUG
rnacentral:rRNA from 1 species